UAGUCGGCCAGCACAGUUGCACUUGAUGCACUCUCGAUCCAGAAUCAGGAAUCAGAUCAUGCGCCCCCUUUUCUGCAGAGCUGUCGUCGCGGGAGCUGUUGAUCUCGCUCGGUCGAACUCGAUCGUAGGACAGGCAGGAAGAAUUAUCAGGCAGUUCUUCUGUAGUUGUGGUGGUGAUUAAUACUGACCAUGAACUCGAUAUUCCAUCCUUAUCUAGUUUGGUAGAUAUCCUGGACUGUCUUAUGAGGAAACGGUUUACAUUGUUCUACUGGUCAAAGUGGUCACAGAGCUGAGGCCCGUUGAAGAGAGAAUACUGUAGGCUAGAUCUACUGUGAAGGAUUUACCCCUGUUUAGUGCGAGGUGGACGGCGUCGUUUUAAUUUGGGACCAACAAUCGUGGCAUGUUAGAACCCCGAUGUUGUAGCCAAUCCUUAGAGGACCAGUAAGAACAAUACAAGGAGACACGCUUUCAUGCUCUGCCGGGUGCAGUAUUGUCAGGGUUACGCCGGAUAUAACCAAGCACUUAUUUGGCAAGAGUGAGCUGGUUUUCAACAAGGAUAACAGCAAUUGAUUUAGGAAUUACUACUGUUUACUACUUGAUUAUAUGAUCAUCAUCAUAAUCCAAUCUGGAAUCUCCUCUUUUGAACUUGGACCUUGUACUUGUACAUUGGAAAAGCCAAUCAUCCUAUCAUUGUGCAAAUAAGUGACUUUCUUUUUGUUACUUCCAAAGUCGGACUCGAGUCGGAUUUAUUCAAUAGACUCCUGGCGUCUACCAUAAUUU
rnacentral:lncRNA from 1 species